CUCCACACCGCCUUGCAAGCUGAGGGAGCCGGCUCCGGCCUCUGCCAGCCCAGGAAGGGGCUCCCACAGUGCAGCGGCGGGCUGAAGGACUCCUCAAGUGCCACCAAAGUGGGAGCCCAGGCAGAGGAGGCGCCGAGAGCGAGCGAGGGCUGCCUGCCAGCACGCUGUCACGUCUCAGCAAUAGACUGCUCUUGAGGCUGGAGUGCAAUGUUGUUAUCAUAGCUCACUGCAACCUGGAACCCCUAGUCUCAAGAGAUCCUCCAGCCUCAGCCUCCCUGGGAUGGCUAUUUUUGUUACUUCUGAAUUCUACUACAAAAGAGUGCUGCAAUAAAAAUCUUUGAACAAGUUCUAAUGCCGUUCAACUGGAAUUGAAGUUUUCAAUCGUUGGAUAUGUCAAAAUUUAAUCAGAUUGUAUAUUGCUCAAUUACUUUCAAAUUAUGUACACCAAGUCAUUCUUGCUCUGGCAAAAUAAGAAUAUUUUCAUUAAUAUAUCAUUCAACUUGAAAUUGCCCAGCUUUUCCUUCUCAUUUCCCCCCAGUCAAAUGAGUUGAAUUAAUACUGUCUAAAAAUAUAUAUUCAUUUGCUUACCUGUUAGUAUUUGUUCCAUGUAUUAAGAAGCUUUGCUAGUAUAUGAAAAUAUAUGUAUUACCAUGUCUUGUGAAUUAGUACUUUUAUCAUUUUGAAAUGUUUGUUUUCAUUUCUGCUGACCGUUCUAACCUGGGUAUCUAUUUUGACUGGUUUUUAAUGUAACUACUAACAUCUUUUUAUGUUCAGCACUUUUUCACAAUUUUACUUUCAAUGUCUUUAUUUUUAAAAUGUAUCUUCUGUAGACAGUGUACAGGUGGUCUUGUUUUAUUGUAAAUCAAGUGACAAUCUCUAUUUCAUAAUUGACAUAUUUAAUCCAUAUAUAUUUAAUUUAAUUGUUGUUAUUUUGAGACUUAAUAUCCAGUUUUACUAUUUUGGCCCAUUUAUUUUUGGUUUAUUUUAGAUGUCUUGCCUUAUCUUAGAUUGAUUGAUAUUUUUAGUAUUUAAUUACAUUUCUUUUAUAAAUGUAAUUUCUUGAAUAUUUGUUUUUAUUUUAGCAAUUGCUCUGGGAAUAUAAAAAUCAUCUUUAAAAUCUAUUUAGAGUUAAUGGUACUACUUUAUGCAGUAGGUAAAAACAUUUCACUAGCACAAUUUCAUUUGCAGGCACCUAACCUUCUGUGAUAGUAUUGUCUUAUAUUGUUAUAUUUAUGAGAUACAAUCACUACAGUAAAAUACUAUUUUCUAUUCAUUGUGCCAUCUUAUAAAUAAACAGAUGAAUAAACAGAUAUUUUUGA
rnacentral:lncRNA from 1 species